AUUCAAUGAGUAUCUAUGUCAUUAUCCUUAUUUAACACCCUCUCUAAUUAGAUUGGUUGCCGAUUUUGGGAUUUGGCUUUGAGAGAACACGCCAGCACAAAUAAGAAUGGAUUAUUUGAUGAAUCUCUCAACAGUUUCUUUCGUAAUGUUGAUACAAGGUACAAAAAUCCAGUUGAUAUUCCAUUGGGAAAUGCAAAGCAGAAGAUAAAAUCAUUAAAAGCAAGGGCAGUUGUUAUCGAUAUGGAGGAAGGUGUUGUAAAUGAGAUUCUCAAAGGUCCAUUACGUGACGUAUUUGACUGUCAACAGUCAAUAACUGAUGUGUCUGGAUCAGGAAAUAACUGG